rnacentral:rRNA from 16 species
UAAAGUAUAUAGAGGUUAUAUAGUUAUCUCUGAUGAAGUAAAAGAAGAUAGUAAAAAUGCCAUAAGAAGCUUAAAAGAAAUAGGGGUAAAAGAAGUUGUAAUGUUAACUGGAGAUAAUGAGAAAGUAGCAAAAAAUAUUGCUCAAGAAUUAGAAUUGGAUACAGUUUACUCAAAUUUACUUCCUAAUGAAAAGGUAGAUAGAUUAGAAGAUUUAUAUGAAGGAAGAACUGAAAAAGAGAAAAUAGCGUUUGUAGGUGAUGGAAUAAAUGAUGCUCCAGUAUUAGCUCGUGCUGAUGUUGGUAUAGCUAUGGGAGGCUUAGGUUCAGAUGCUGCUAUUGAAGCUGCAGAUGUAGUGCUUAUGACAGAUGAGCCUAGCAAGAUAUCUAAAGCAAUUGAAAUAGCAAACAAGACUAAUAAGAUAGUGUGGCAAAACAUAAUAUUUGCUCUAGGAGUAAAAAUUAUAGUUAUGAUACUAGGUGCUGGAGGAGUAGCUACUAUGUGGGAAGCUAUAUUUGCUGAUGUAGGUGUGGCACUUAUAGCAGUAGUAAAUGCUAUGAGAGCUAUGAGAUAAGGGAUAAAUGUAAAUCCAUACUAUUUAAAAAACUUAUAAUUAUAUAUUGAAGUAUGUAAUAAUGAAAGGUAUCAAUAAGUUUCUUUUAACUUUAUUGGUACCUUUUUAUUGGAGCGCUUUGCAUAUAUAAAUUUAUAUUCAUUAUCCAUUAUGUUUAUUUAAUGUAUUUAUUUAGUGUAGAGCUUUUAUAUUGUAAUUUUAAAAUUUAGACAUAGAAGGUUUAUUAAUAAGUUUAUAUUAAGUUUAAAUUAGAUUCAUAAAAAUUAUAAUACUUAUGAUUGUAUAUAUAUUAUAUUAAUAGUUGUAAUUUUUACAACAAAAUGUGUGUGUUAAAAUACUCUAAACCAACAGUAUGACUGCCAUUCAAUAAAUUAUGUAAUAUAAGAAAGUAAAUAUUUUUAAAAAAUAAUUUUAAAAAGUAUUGACGAAUUAUUUUUAAGGUGAUAUAGUAUUACUUGUCCUUAAGAAAAGGGCAAACAUAAAAAAUGAACUUUGAAAAUUAAACAGUAGGUUAAUUUAUAAAACAAGAAACAAACCAUAAAGCCAGAUAUUUUGAUAACAAUAGUAUCUGAGCCUGAUAAACUUUUAUUUGAGAGUUUGAUCCUGGCUCAGGAUGAACGCUGGCGGCGUGCCUAACACAUGCAAGUUGAGCGAUUUACUUCGGUAAAGAGCGGCGGACGGGUGAGUAACGCGUGGGUAACCUACCCUGUACACACGGAUAACAUACCGAAAGGUAUGCUAAUACGGGAUAAUAUAUUUGAGAGGCAUCUCUUAAUAUCAAAGGUGAGCCAGUACAGGAUGGACCCGCGUCUGAUUAGCUAGUUGGUAAGGUAACGGCUUACCAAGGCGACGAUCAGUAGCCGACCUGAGAGGGUGAUCGGCCACAUUGGAACUGAGACACGGUCCAAACUCCUACGGGAGGCAGCAGUGGGGAAUAUUGCACAAUGGGCGAAAGCCUGAUGCAGCAACGCCGCGUGAGUGAUGAAGGCCUUCGGGUCGUAAAACUCUGUCCUCAAGGAAGAUAAUGACGGUACUUGAGGAGGAAGCCCCGGCUAACUACGUGCCAGCAGCCGCGGUAAUACGUAGGGGGCUAGCGUUAUCCGGAUUUACUGGGCGUAAAGGGUGCGUAGGCGGUCUUUCAAGUCAGGAGUGAAAGGCUACGGCUCAACCGUAGUAAGCUCUUGAAACUGGGAGACUUGAGUGCAGGAGAGGAGAGUGGAAUUCCUAGUGUAGCGGUGAAAUGCGUAGAUAUUAGGAGGAACACCAGUUGCGAAGGCGGCUCUCUGGACUGUAACUGACGCUGAGGCACGAAAGCGUGGGGAGCAAACAGGAUUAGAUACCCUGGUAGUCCACGCUGUAAACGAUGAGUACUAGGUGUCGGGGGUUACCCCCUUCGGUGCCGCAGCUAACGCAUUAAGUACUCCGCCUGGGAAGUACGCUCGCAAGAGUGAAACUCAAAGGAAUUGACGGGGACCCGCACAAGUAGCGGAGCAUGUGGUUUAAUUCGAAGCAACGCGAAGAACCUUACCUAAGCUUGACAUCCCAAUGACAUCUCCUUAAUCGGAGAGUUCCCUUCGGGGACAUUGGUGACAGGUGGUGCAUGGUUGUCGUCAGCUCGUGUCGUGAGAUGUUGGGUUAAGUCCCGCAACGAGCGCAACCCUUGUCUUUAGUUGCCAUCAUUAAGUUGGGCACUCUAGAGAGACUGCCAGGGAUAACCUGGAGGAAGGUGGGGAUGACGUCAAAUCAUCAUGCCCCUUAUGCUUAGGGCUACACACGUGCUACAAUGGGUAGUACAGAGGGUUGCCAAGCCGUAAGGUGGAGCUAAUCCCUUAAAGCUACUCUCAGUUCGGAUUGUAGGCUGAAACUCGCCUACAUGAAGCUGGAGUUACUAGUAAUCGCAGAUCAGAAUGCUGCGGUGAAUGCGUUCCCGGGUCUUGUACACACCGCCCGUCACACCACGGGAGUUGGAGACGCCCGAAGCCGAUUAUCUAACCUUUUGGAAGAAGUCGUCGAAGGUGGAAUCAAUAACUGGGGUGAAGUCGUAACAAGGUAGCCGUAUCGGAAGGUGCGGCUGGAUCACCUCCUUU